AUACGGAGGGUGCAAGCGUUACUCGGAAUCACUGGGCGUAAAGCGCGCGCAGGCGGCUAUUUAAGUUGGAUGUGAAAGCCUACGGCUCAACCGUAGAACUGCAUCCAAAACUAUUUAGCUAGAGUGUGGGAGAGGAAGAUGGAAUUAGUUGUGUAGGGGUAAAAUCCGUAGAGAUAACUAGGAAUACCAAGAGCGAAGGCGAUCUUCUGGAACAGUACUGACGCUGAGGCGCGAAAGCGUGGGGAGCAAACAGGAUUAGAAACCCCAGUAGUCC
rnacentral:rRNA from 1 species